rnacentral:rRNA from 1 species
AUUGAACGCUGGCGGAAUGCUUUACACAUGCAAGUCGAACGGCAGCACGGGUGCUUGCACCUGGUGGCGAGUGGCAACGGGUGAGUAAUACAUCGGAACGUACCUUAUCGUGGGGGAUAACGCAGCGAAAGCUGUGCUAAUACCGCAUACGCCCUGAGGGGGAAAGCGGGGGAUCGCAAGACCUCGCGCGAUUAGAGCGGCCGAUGCCUGAUUAGCUUGUUGGUGGGGUAAAAGCCCACCAAGGCGACGAUCAGUAGCUGGUCUGAGAGGACGAUCAGCCACACUGGGACUGAGACACGGCCCAGACUCCUACGGGAGGCAGCAGUGGGGAAUUUUGGACAAUGGGGGCAACCCUGAUCCAGCAAUGCCGCGUGAGUGAAGAAGGCCCUCGGGUUGUAAAGCUCUUUUGUCAGGGAAGAAACACCGGCUCUAACACAGUCUGGGAAUGACGGUACCUGAAGAAUAAGCACCGGCUAACUACGUGCCAGCCGCCGCUGUAA